AUGAACGGAGCACGAACAAAGGGGAAUACCUCUUGCUGUUGAUCUUCCUCCAUAGCUUCUUCUCCUCAGCGUACUUUUUUUAACCAACCCCAAACAAGGAUCACCCUUGCUUUAUUUAUAUUAUCAUCAAAGUUCUGCAUUCGGCCAGUGCAAGGGUCGAUGCCCCCGGUGUCAACAGGGCGAUAACCACUAUGUGGAGAGCGUGUCAGUGGUAAACGCCAAUCCGUUACUGGGCUUUAAACAACGCAGGAUGAACCAUGGGUACCGACAGACAACACUGCGACGACUACUUAGUUAAUUGACUGUUACAAAUGUAAUAUCGUCAUAAAUAGUUUUGACGCGUACGCCUAUCUGAACGGAUGGAAAGCAGGAAAAAGGCAUUGGAGAGGCGUUUGAAAAAGAGGAAAUUGAUUACGUAGUAUGCAGAAGUCCGCUAAGUUUUCAAUCGACUAUGAAUAUAAGCAAGACACGUUGAUCUUCGCAUUGGAUACUGAUACAAAUAGCGGGCAGUAAAAUUGCCAGGAGACACAGAAUUUGUAUAUACUGGCACGAUAUCUAUUUGGUGUAAUACUGUGCUGCCAUUAUAUAGAAUAACUUGUAUGGCCAUUGAUUCAAUUAUAUCUUAGCUUAAAAUAUAUUCGUGUACUUUUAGAAGCUGGUUUAGCCGUGUAACUAAUCAGCAUCUUAGAUGCCUUAGUUUCUCGUAGCGCGGAACUUGGAUAACUUUCCAAGAUUUCACAAACUGACGUCAGACGUUGUAACUGAAAUGUAAACUCCAACGCAAUGUACAAAACAUUUUUUUCGUUUUAUUAUCAUAUCUAGCGCAGCAAAUUCGGCACCAAUCGCAGUUAUUUAGUGUCGCUUUUAUUUAACUCACUGACUAUAAGGAUAAACAUUAAAUAAAGGAUUCGUUCUCGUAGAUCGUUUACUAUAACGACGACUAUCGUACAGAUCGAUCUCUAAAGUUGAAACCACGUCGAACACGACACAAUUACGCGGUUUUUCGCGAACUUGUGACGUAUUACGUCUGAUGCAGUCGCAUAGAUACCGUACUUCCAAUUAAUUUUAGACAAUACAUAUUUUUCGAAUAGAGCUUACUGGAUAAGUAGUCUAACUUAAAAACGACCUCUUCUAAAAUCUCUCUUGUAAAAUGAUCACAAAUAAUAAACAAUUGCCAAUAACGAGGUGUAAAAAUUCUCAAGAUAUAGAGGCUCAUUCUAUAAAAGCCUUUGUUUCGCAUCUGGUAUUAAAUAAAAAUCCAGUCUUCCGCCAACGGUUCGUUGCGUAUGUACGAGAUGUUCUAUGCGACUCCUGUUUUCUUUAUUACGGAAUGCUCUCUGGUCACGACUCGCUCUUCGACGGCAGCGGCCUUCGCUGUACGAGGCAUGAAGACAACGGACAUCAGACUUCAGCCAAGUUUCGGUUUGCCACAGCAGCAAUGGCGGCGGUAGUAGCACCGCCACUGGCACCGAGGUCUUUCUACCGUUAGCGUGCUUUAUUCCGAACAAGCCUCGUCGGCUAGCCGGGGCAUACGGAAACUAAUUGGCCAAAUUUCCAACAGCCCUUACUACCUCACACUCGGGCCGAACGCAGUGAUGUUUUGGCAUGACGGCAAUUUUGCCGCUCCUGCAGUGACCCCACGACCUCCUCGAGUCACGAUCGGAUUGCGGAGUUGAUGUCGGUGCUGGCCGUAGAUAAAUAAUUCAGUCGAUUUAUCUGUGACUCAGUUCACUGACGUCUUCAGUUGGUGUCGUUGCACUCCACAGUUACAGCCAUUAUA